GCUUCUGAAGGAUAACAGCACAUCCGUUGGUUUUAGGAACCAAAAACUCUUGGUGCAAAUCCCAAGUAGUAGCU
rnacentral:tRNA from 1 species